GUAGUCAUAUGCUUGUCUCAAAGAUUAAGCCAUGCAUGUCUAAGUAUAAGCAAUUAUACCGCGAAACUGCGAAUGGCUCAUUAUAUAAGUUAUCGUUUAUUUGAUAGUACCUUACUACUUGGAUAACCGUGGUAAUUCUAGAGCUAAUACAUGCUAAAAAUCCCGACUUCGGAAGGGAUGUAUUUAUUAGAUUAAAAACCAAUGCCCUUCGGGGCUCACUGGUGAUUCAUGAUAACUCCUCGAAUCGCAUGGCCUUGUGCCGGCGAUGGUUCAUUCAAAUUUCUUCCCUAUCAACUUUCGAUGUUUGGGUAUUGGCCAAACAUGGUUGCAACGGGUAACGGAGGGUUAGGGCUCGACCCCGGAGAAGGAGCCUGAGGAACGGCUACUACAUCCAAGGAAGGCAGCAGGCGCGCAAAUUACCCAAUCCCGACACGGGGAGGUAGUGACAAUAAAUACUGAUACAGGGCUCUUUUGGGUCUUGUAAUUGGAAUGAGUACAAUUUAAAUCCCUUAACGAGGAACAAUUGGAGGGCAAGUCUGGUGCCAGCAGCCGCGGUAAUUCCAGCUCCAAUAGCGUAUAUUAAAGUUGUUGUGGUUAAAAAGCUCGUAGUUGAACCUUGGGCCUGGCUGGCCGGUCCGCCUCACCGCGUGUACUGGUCCGGCCGGGCCUUUCCCUCUGUGGAACCCCAUGCCCUUCACUGGGUGUGGCGGGGAAACAGGACUUUUACUGUGAAAAAAUUAGAGUGCUCCAGGCAGGCCUAUGCUCGAAUACAUUAGCAUGGAAUAAUAGAAUAGGACGUGUGGUUCUAUUUUGUUGGUUUCUAGGACCGCCGUAAUGAUUAAUAGGGACAGUCGGGGGCAUCAGUAUUCAAUUGUCAGAGGUGAAAUUCUUGGAUUUAUUGAAGACUAACUACUGCGAAAGCAUUUGCCAAGGAUGUUUUCAUUAUCAGGACGAAAGUUAGGGGAUCGAAGACGACAGAUGCCGUCGUAGUCUUACCAUAAACUAUGCCGACUAGGGAUCGGACGGGUGGUUAAUUUUUUGACCCGUUCGGCACC
rnacentral:rRNA from 1 species